GACGAACGCUGGCGGCGUGCCUAACACAUGCAAGUCGAACGGAGUAAGACGCUGGUUUGAUAGCUUCGGCAGGAUUUCCUUGUCUUACUUAGUGGCGGACGGGUGAGUAACGCGUGAGCAACCUGCCUUCGAGAGGGGAAUAACGUUCUGAAAAGAUCGCUAAUACCGCAUAACAUAUCGGUGCCGCAUGACACUGAUAUCAAAGAUUUAUCGCUCGAAGAUGGGCUCGCGUCCGAUUAGGUAGUUGGUGAGGUAACGGCUCACCAAGCCGACGAUCGGUAGCCGGACUGAGAGGUUGAACGGCCACAUUGGGACUGAGACACGGCCCAGACUCCUACGGGAGGCAGCAGUGGGGGAUAUUGCGCAAUGGGGGCAACCCUGACGCAGCAACGCCGCGUGAAGGAUGAAGGUUUUCGGAUUGUAAACUUCUUUUAUUAGGGACGAAAUUUGACGGUACCUAAUGAAUAAGCUCCGGCUAACUACGUG
rnacentral:rRNA from 1 species